UACGGAGGGGGCAAGCGUUGUUCGGAUUUAUUGGGCGUAAAGCGCGUGUAGGCGGUACGGUAAGUCGGAUGUUAAAGACCCACGGCUCACCCGGGGGAGUGCGUUCGAUACUGCCGUGCUAGAGUGCAGGAGAGGAAAGUGGAAUUCCUGGUGUAGCGGUGAAAUGCGUAGAUAUCAGGAGGAACACCGGUGGCGAAGGCGGCUUUCUGGCCUGUAACUGACGCUGAGACGCGAAAGCAUGGGGAGCGAACGGGAUUAGAUAC
rnacentral:rRNA from 1 species